rnacentral:tRNA from 1 species
GAGAGGUGGCAGAGUGGUCGAAUGCACUGGUCUUGAAAACCAGCGGUCCUUUAUCGGUCCCGUGGGUUCGAAUCCCACCCUCUCC